AUUGAACGCUGGCGGCAUGCCUUACACAUGCAAGUCGAACGGCAGCACGGGUGCUUGCACCUGGUGGCGAGUGGCGAACGGGUGAGUAAUACAUCGGAACAUGUCCUGUAGUGGGGGAUAGCCCGGCGAAAGCCGGAGUAAUACCGCAUACGAUCUACUGAUGAAAGCGGGGGCCAUUGGGGCCUCGCGCUAUGGGGUCAGUCGAUGGCUGAUUAGCUAGUUGGUGGGGUAAAGGCCUACCAAGGCGACGAUCAGUAGCUGGUCUGAGAGGACGACCAGCCACACUGGGACUGAGACACGGCCCAGACUCCUACGGGAGGCAGCAGUGGGGAAUUUUGGACAAUGGGCGAAAGCCUGAUCCAGCAAUGCCGCGUGUGUGAAGAAGGCCUUCGGGUUGUAAAGCACUUUUGUCCGGAAAGAAAUCCUUGGCCCUAAUACGGUCGGGGGAUGACGGUACCGGAAGAAUAAGCACCGGCUAACUACGUG
rnacentral:rRNA from 1 species